rnacentral:rRNA from 1 species
UGGGGGAAAAUUAAUAUAAUAAAAUAAAUAAUAAAAAUAAUUAUAAAAAAUAAUUAAUGGGGGUUAAAGUAUUUUUUAGAAAAAAUUUAUUAAUUUAUAGUUUAAUAGUAUUGUGAAAGAAUUUUGAAAUAAAGUUAAAUAUGGAUUAUUAUUUAAGUAAAUUUAAUUUAUUGUAUCUUGUGUAUCAGAGUUUAUUAAUAAAAUAUUUUUAAAUAAAAAUAUCUCGAAUUUAAAAGAGAUAGUUAAUUAUUAAAGUUAAUGUGACAUAAUUAUUUUAAAUAAUUAAUUUGAAAUGAAAUGUUAAUCGUUUUUAAAAAUAUCUAGUUUUUUUAGAAAAAAAUUUAAUUUUAAAUUAAUUUAAUAAUUUUUUAAAUUUGUUGUAUAAAAUUAUAUAUUUAAUUAAAUAUUUUAGGGGAUAAGCUUUAAAUUAAAUUUUUAUAAUGUUAAUAAACUAUUUAAAUAUUUUAAAAUUUAUAUUUUUUAUAAAUUAUAAUUUUUUAUAAAUAAUUUUAUCUAUUUUAAAAUUUAAAUUUAUAUUUAAAUUUAUAUAAAAAAAUAAUUUUUAAUAAUAAAAAAUUAGUUAUAAUGAUAAAAUUAGUAUAUAAAAAAAAAAUAAAAUAAAAUUAAUUAAAAUUAAUAAAAAGGAAUUCGGCAAAAAU